rnacentral:rRNA from 1 species
CCUACGGGGGGCAGCAGUGGGGAAUAUUGGACAAUGGGGGGAACCCUGAUCCAGCCAUGCCGCGUGUGUGAAGAAGGCCCUCGGGUUGUAAAGCACUUUUAGUGAGGAAGAACGCCUGGUGGUUAAUACCCAUCAGGAAAGACAUCACUCACAGAAGAAGCACCGGCUAACUCCGUGCCAGCAGCCGCGGUAAUACGGAGGGUGCGAGCGUUAAUCGGAAUUACUGGGCGUAAAGCGCGCGUAGGUGGCUUGAUAAGCCGGUUGUGAAAGCCCCGGGCUCAACCUGGGAACGGCAUCCGGAACUGUCAAGCUAGAGUGCAGGAGAGGAAGGUAGAAUUCCCGGUGUAGCGGUGAAAUGCGUAGAGAUCGGGAGGAAUACCAGUGGCGAAGGCGGCCUUCUGGACUGACACUGACACUGAGGUGCGAAAGCGUGGGUAGCAAACAGGAUUAGAUACCCUUGUAGUC